rnacentral:rRNA from 1 species
UGGGGAAUUUUGGACAAUGGGCGAAAGCCUGAUCCAGCAAUGCCGCGUGUGUGAAGAAGGCCUUCGGGUUGUAAAGCACUUUUGUCCGGAAAGAAAUCCUUGGCUCUAAUACAGUCGGGGGAUGACGGUACCGGAAGAAUAAGCACCGGCUAACUACGUGCCAGCAGCCGCGGUAAUACGUAGGGUGCAAGCGUUAAUCGGAAUUACUGGGCGUAAAGCGUGCGCAGGCGGUUUGCUAAGACCGAUGUGAAAUCCCCGGGCUCAACCUGGGAACUGCAUUGGUGACUGGCAGGCUAGAGUAUGGCAGAGGGGGGUAGAAUUCCACGUGUAGCAGUGAAAUGCGUAGAGAUGUGGAGGAAUACCGAUGGCGAAGGCAGCCCCCUGGGCCAAUACUGACGCUCAUGCACGAAAGCGUGGGGAGCAAACAGGAUUAGAUACCCUGGUAGUCCACGCCCUAAAACGAUGUCAACUAGUUGUUGGGGGAUUCAUUUCCUAGUAACGUAGCUAACGCGUGAAGUUGACCGCCUGGGGAGUACGGUCGCAAGAUUAAAACUCAAAUGAAUUGACGGGGUCAUAGCUGUUUCCU